AUUGAACGCUGGCGGCAGGCCUAACACAUGCAAGUCGAACGGUAACAGGAAGAAGCUUGCUUCUUUGCUGACGAGUGGCGGACGGGUGAGUAAUGUCUGGGAAACUGCCUGAUGGAGGGGGAUAACUACUGGAAACGGUAGCUAAUACCGCAUAAUGUCGCAAGACCAAAGAGGGGGACCUUCGGGCCUCUUGCCAUCGGAUGUGCCCAGAUGGGAUUAGCUAGUAGGUGGGGUAACGGCUCACCUAGGCGACGAUCCCUGGCUGGUCUGAGAGGAUGACCAGCCACACUGGAACUGAGACACGGUCCAGACUCCUACGGGAGGCAGCAGUGGGGAAUAUUGCACAAUGGGCGCAAGCCUGAUGCAGCUAUGCCGCGUGUAUGAAGAAGGCCUGCGGGUUGUAAGUACUUUCAGCGGGGAGGAAGGGAGUAAAGUUAAUACCUUUGCUCAUUGACGUUACCCGCAGAAGAAGCACCGGCUAACUCCGUG
rnacentral:rRNA from 1 species